GAGUUUGAUCCUGGCUCAGGACGAACGCUGGCGGCGUGCCUAAUACAUGCAAGUAGAACGCUGAAGAGAGGAGCUUGCUCUUCUUGGAUGAGUUGCGAACGGGUGAGUAACGCGUAGGUAACCUGCCUUGUAGCGGGGGAUAACUAUUGGAAACGAUAGCUAAUACCGCAUAACAAUAGGUGACACAUGUCAUUUAUUUGAAAGGGGCAAUUGCUCCACUACAAGAUGGACCUGCGUUGUAUUAGCUAGUAGGUGAGGUAACGGCUCACCUAGGCGACGAUACAUAGCCGACCUGAGAGGGUGAUCGGCCACACUGGGACUGAAACACGGCCCAGACUCCUACGGGAGGCAGCAGUAGGGAAUCUUCGGCAAUGGGGGCAACCCUGACCGAGCAACGCCGCGUGAGUGAAGAAGGUUUUCGGAUCGUAAAGCUCUGUUGUAAGUCAAGAACGAGUGUGAGAGUGGAAAGUUCACACUGUGACGGUAGCUUACCAGAAAGGGACGGCUAACUACGUGCCAGCAGCCGCGGUAAUACGUAGGUCCCGAGCGUUGUCCGGAUUUAUUGGGCGUAAAGCGAGCGCAGGCGGUUUGAUAAGUCUGAAGUUAAAGGCUGUGGCUCAACCAUAGUUCGCUUUGGAAACUGUCAAACUUGAGUGCAGAAGGGGAGAGUGGAAUUCCAUGUGUAGCGGUGAAAUGCGUAGAUAUAUGGAGGAACACCGGUGGCGAAAGCGGCUCUCUGGUCUGUAACUGACGCUGAGGCUCGAAAGCGUGGGGAGCGAACAGGAUUAGAUACCCUGGUAGUCCACGCCGUAAACGAUGAGUGCUAGGUGUUGGAUCCUUUCCGGGAUUCAGUGCCGCAGCUAACGCAUUAAGCACUCCGCCUGGGGAGUACGACCGCAAGGUUGAAACUCAAAGGAAUUGACGGGGGCCCGCACAAGCGGUGGAGCAUGUGGUUUAAUUCGAAGCAACGCGAAGAACCUUACCAGGUCUUGACAUCCCGAUGCUAUUUCUAGAGAUAGAAAGUUACUUCGGUACAUCGGUGACAGGUGGUGCAUGGUUGUCGUCAGCUCGUGUCGUGAGAUGUUGGGUUAAGUCCCGCAACGAGCGCAACCCCUAUUGUUAGUUGCCAUCAUUCAGUUGGGCACUCUAGCGAGACUGCCGGUAAUAAACCGGAGGAAGGUGGGGAUGACGUCAAAUCAUCAUGCCCCUUAUGACCUGGGCUACACACGUGCUACAAUGGUUGGUACAACGAGUUGCGAGUCGGUGACGGCAAGCUAAUCUCUUAAAGCCAAUCUCAGUUCGGAUUGUAGGCUGCAACUCGCCUACAUGAAGUCGGAAUCGCUAGUAAUCGCGGAUCAGCACGCCGCGGUGAAUACGUUCCCGGGCCUUGCACACACCGCCCGUC
rnacentral:rRNA from 1 species